rnacentral:tRNA from 1 species
UUAAAGGAUAAAAGUAAUCCAC